ACACCAAGGAGAUGCGAGCUCAGAGCAGAGGAAGAGGCAUGGAGAAGGCUGGUUUUUUUCCGUGUCGAAGCUCGGGGUUGGGCAGCCAGUCAGAGACUGCUCUCCUGUGCCUGACGAGGGGCAGAUUUGGGGACGGCAGUGGUCACUGACUACUGAGCUCUGCAUGCCUCCUGCCACACAGUCUGUCUUCACCAAGAUAAGGUCUCACGCCCAUGGCCCAGACCAGCCUGGAACUUUCUAUGUAGCCGAAGAGGAUGAAUGUCUAAUACUCCCAGCUCCACCAGAUGCCUGCUGUGAUAGCAGGUGCUGACCGCCAUGUCUGGUUUAUGCGGUGCUGGGGACCAAAGCUAGGCUUCCUGGUUGCUAGGAGGCUCCGGGGCUCGCUCACUCCUUGAACUGCUGUGGUGGCCAUUGUUCAACACCGCUACAUUCUUCAAAGAAGCAGGCCCUUCGGUUCCAGGCUCUUCCACCUUCGGUUCUAGGCUCUUCCACCUUGGGUCAGACCUCUUGUUACUGCAGUCCCCAAAGAAUUCAGUUUAGGGCAUUCCUGUGUCCACAGCCCUUCCAGUUCUGCACCUGACCUUCAUGUCUCCAACCCCUUCCUCCAUCUGAACCAACAGCCUGCAGAAUCCCGCUGGCCACUCCACUCCCGUCUAGUGUAUGAUGACUGCCCACUUUAACUCAGAUCAAAGCUGACCUGAAAAUGCUCCACAAACCUCCUUCUUCUCUACCUAUGUCUGCCAAAGGUGCAUAAGGCCACUCCUAUAGGGGCCCAGACAGGGACUUCCCAGCAUCCUCUACCCUUGCUCUCUUCUCACCUAGCAACAGAUCCAGUGGAUUGGAAAGAUGUUAUCUCUCACCUGUAUUUUACCAGCAACUGAGACGUCUUUGCUUCCUCUCUGAACUCCAUGCAGAGGAUUGUGUAACCAAUCGGAAACUCGGACUUUUCAUCGCAGGUUAUUGCACAUGACCCUCUGCCUCAGCCCUGCAGUGGAGAGCUGCAC